rnacentral:rRNA from 1 species
UACGAAGGGGGCUAGCGUUGCUCGGAAUCACUGGGCGUAAAGGGUGCGUAGGCGGGUCUUUUAAGUCAGGGGUGAAAUCCUGGAGCUCAACUCCAGAACUGCCUUUGAUACUGAGGAUCUUGAGUUCGGGGAGAGGUGAGUGGAACUGCGAGUGUAGAGGUGAAAUUCGUAGAUAUUCGCAAGAACACCAGUGGCGAAGGCGGCUCACUGGCCCGAUACUGACGCUGAGGCACGAAAGCGUGGGGAGCAACAGGG